rnacentral:rRNA from 1 species
UACGAAGGAGGCUAGCGUUGCUCGGAAUCACUGGGCGUAAAGGGUGCGUAGGCGGGGCUUUAAGUCAGGGGUGAAAUCCUGGAGCUCAACUCCAGAACUGCCUUUGAUACUGAAGAUCUUGAGUUCGGGAGAGGUGAGUGGAACUGCGAGUGUAGAGGUGAAAUUCGUAGAUAUUCGCAAGAACACCAGUGGCGAAGGCGGCUCACUGGCCCGAUACUGACGCUGAGGCACGAAAGCGUGGGGAGCAAACAGG